GACGAACGCUGGCGGCGUGCUUAACACAUGCAAGUCGAACGGUGAAAGCGGAGCUUGCUCCGCUGGAUCAGUGGCGAACGGGUGAGUAACACGUGGGCAACCUGCCCCUCACUUCGGGAUAACUCCGGGAAACUGGGGCUAAUACCGGAUAUGACCUCCUUGGGCAUCCUUGGAGGUGGAAAGUUUUUCGGUGAGGGAUGGGCCCGCGGCCUAUCAGCUUGUUGGUGGGGUGAUGGCCUACCAAGGCGACGACGGGUAGCCGGCCUGAGAGGGUGACCGGGCACACUGGAACUGAGACACGGUCCAGACUCCUACGGGAGGCAGCAGUGGGGAAUAUUGCACAAUGGGCGAAAGCCUGAUGCAGCAACGCCGCGUGAGGGAUGACGGCCUUCGGGUUGUAAACCUCUUUUAGCAGGGAAGAAGCGAAAGUGACGGUACCUGCAGAAAAAGCACCGGCUAACUACGUGCCAGCCGCCGCGGUAA
rnacentral:rRNA from 1 species